rnacentral:rRNA from 1 species
UACGAAGGGUGCUAGCGUUGCUCGGAAUUACUGGGCGUAAAGCGCGCGCAGGUGGUUUUGCAAGUCAGGGGUGAAAUCCCACAGCUCAACUGUGGAAUUGCCUUUGAAACUGCAGAACUGGAGUCCGGAAGAGGAUGGUAGAAUACCCAGUGUAGAGGUGAAAUUCGUAGAUAUUGGGUGGAAUACCAGUGGCGAAGGCGGCCAUCUGGUCCGGUACUGACACUGAGGCGCGAAAGCGUGGGGAUCAAACAGG